CCUACGGGAGGCAGCAGUGGGGAAUAUUGCACAAUGGGGGCAACCCUGAUGCAGCGACGCCGCGUGAGCGAUGAAGUAUCUCGGUAUGUAAAGCUCUAUCAGCAGGGAAGAAAAUGACGGUACUUGACUAAGAAUCCACGGCUAACUACGUGCCAGCAGCCGCGGCCAUACGUAGGGGGCAAGCGUUAUCCGGAUUUACUGGGUGUAAAGGGAGGGUAGACGGCUGUGCAAGCCAGAUGUGAAAGCCCGGGGCUCAACCCCGGGACUGCAUUUGGAACUGUGUGGCUGGAGUGUCGGAGAGGCAGGCGGAAUUCCUAGUGUAGCGGUGAAAUGCGUAGAUAUUAGGAGGAACACCAGUGGCGAAGGCGGCCUGCUGGACGAUGACUGACGUUGAGGCUCGAAAGCGUGGGGAGCAAACAGGAUUAGAUACCCUUGUAGUC
rnacentral:rRNA from 1 species